CUAUACAUGCAAGUCGAACGAACGGAGGAAGAGCUUGCUCUUCCAAAGUUAGUGGCGGACGGGUGAGUAACACGUGGGCAACCUGCCUGUAAGUUGGGGAUAACUCCGGGAAACCGGGGCUAAUACCGAAUGAUAAAGUKUGGCGCAUGCCAYGCUUUUGAAAGAUGGUUUCGGCUAUCGCUUACAGAUGGGCCCGCGGUGCAUUAGCUAGUUGGUAGGGUAAUGGCCUACCAAGGCAACGAUGCAUAGCCGACCUGAGAGGGUGAUCGGCCACACUGGGACUGAGACACGGCCCAGACUCCUACGGGAGGCAGCAGUAGGGAAUCUUCCGCAAUGGACGAAAGUCUGACGGAGCAACGCCGCGUGUAUGAAGAAGGUUUUCGGAUCGUAAAGUACUGUUGUUAGAGAAGAACAAGGAUAAGAGUAACUGCUUGUCCCUUGACGGUAUCUAACCAGAAAGCCACGGCUAACUACGUGCCAGCAGCCGCGGUAAUACGUAGGUGGCAAGCGUUGUCCGGAUUUAUUGGGCGUAAAGCGCGCGCAGGCGGUCUUUUAAGUCUGAUGUGAAAGCCCCCGGCUUACCGGGAGGGUCAUUGGAACUGGAGACUGGAGUGCAGAGAGAGAGUGAUCACGUGUA
rnacentral:rRNA from 1 species